rnacentral:rRNA from 1 species
GCCGGUGUCUGAUUAGCUAGUUGGUAGGGUAAUGGCUUACCAAGGCGACGAUCAGUAGUUGGUCUGAGAGGACGACCAGCCACACUGGGACUGAGACACGGCCCAGACUCCUACGGGAGGCAGCAGUGGGGAAUUUUGGACAAUGGGCGCAAGCCUGAUCCAGCAAUGCCGCGUGAGUGAAGAAGGCCUUCGGGUUGUAAAGCUCUUUCAGUUGAGAUGAAAAAGUCGUGACUAAUAAUCAUGAUUCAUGACGGUAUCAACAGAAGAAGCACCGGCUAACUACGUGCCAGCAGCCGCGGUAAUACGUAGGGUGCAAGCGUUAAUCGGAAUUACUGGGCGUAAAGGGUGCGCAGGCGGUUCUGUAAGUCAGAUGUGAAAUCCCCGGGCUUAACCUGGGAACUGCGUUUGAAACUACAAGGCUAG